AUACUUACCUGGCAGGGGAGAUACCAUGAUGACGAAGGUGGUUUUCCCAGGGCCAGGCUUAUCCAUUGAAACCUGGAUGUGCUGACCCCUGUGAUUUCCCCAAAUGUGGGAAACUUGACUGCAUAAUUUGUGGUAGUGGGGGACUGUGUUCACGCUCUCCCCUA
ensembl:snRNA U1 U1 spliceosomal RNA